UAUCCAUCGUCUUCUCUCACAGCUCCUGCAGCCCAUCCACGUGUGUGAUGCAGUACAUGCACAACAUGAUCACAUCUGUGUCUGUCGCCACCACUACAGCCCGUUUGUGGUGCAGAAUUUACACUGAGUAUGCAAAGUCAGCAAACAUCCUGGUAUCUGCCUCCUCAUGUUUCUCAUAGGAAAGUUCUGAGAGCUCAACCUGACAAUCUGCUGACAAGAGGACAGUGCGACCAGGAUCACAAAAGAUUCCACCAAGAAUAAGUGUGCAACCUGCAGGAAGUGACUUGUUCUGAGCUGCCCAUGCCUCCCCCAUGUAGUUCAACAGAUUAGCUUUAUUCAGUGGAUUGAAGCUGUGGGUGAAGAUGACGGAUAUCUUCCUACCUGUUCAUGCCAUCCCUGAAGCUCUGGCGGGGAAGUAUGAUGUUACAGCUUCAGAUCUUAUAUGCCUUCUCCUCAGCACCUACAUACUUACUGGAUGUGACACAGUGAGCUAUCUGUACAGAAGAGGACAAAGGCAGGUCCACACAACUGACAGACCUUCUGCUGCUGUGCAGGUACGGUGACCCUGAGGAAAGCCUGGAUGUUCAGGAGGAGGUUAUAACAGCUGCACGGCGAUACAUGGUGUCACUGUAUGACAGGAGUGACUUUGGUGGUACUGUAGAUGCACUGCGAGCCCCUCUCUUUGUGAGCAUCAAAGGAAAGAUGCGUUGCCUUCCACCAACUGAAGAUGCCUUCCUAUCGCACCUUCGCCGAGCCCUGCAUCAGUUGGCUGUGUGUAAGCGAGCACACAUGGUUCAGCCAACCUAACCAACUGCCAUUGAUUUUGGGAGACAACAUAUCAAUGGGAAAAUGGUGGAAACCAUGAUGCUGAAAGAGGCAAAACCUUCUGAACUCAAACACAGCAAAUACUGCCGCUGCAAGAAAAGCAUGUGUGCCCGAGGAUGCUCCUGUGCAAGCGCCAGUGUGAAGUGUGGCAUUGCAUCAGAUGUUCAAGGAUUGAACUUGCGCUUGAAGACAGGGACACGUGGUGAGGGUGAAGGUCUGUCCCCAGAGCAGUAUCUGCAGUGUGUCACCCUCUUGUUUAUCCCACCUCACAGGGACCUGCACCUAGUUAAUUAAGUUAUGUCAUAUUAUUUUGUUCCAUUAAAGUUGUAAUAGUUGUCACCUGAGGCAAUAAAAUAAAGAAAGUCA